AUACGUAGGGGGCGAGCGUUGUCCGGAAUGAUUGGGCGUAAAGGGCGCGUAGGCGGCCCGGUAAGUCUGGAGUGAAAGUCCUGUUUUUAAGAUGGGAAUUGCUUUGGAUACUGUCGGGCUUGAGUGCAGGAGAGGUAAGUGGAAUUCCCAGUGUAGCGGGUAAAUGCGUAGAGAUUGGGAGGAACACCAGUGGCGAAGGCGACUUACUGGACUGUAACUGACGCUGAGGCGCGAAAGUGUGGGGAGCAAACAGGAUUAGAUACCCUGGUAGUCCACACUGUAAACGAUGAAUGCUAGGUGUAGGGGGUAUCGACCCCUUCUGUGCCGCAGUCAACACAAUAAGCAUUCCGCCUGGGGAGUACGGCCGCAAGGUUGAAACUCAAAUGAAUUGGCGGGG
rnacentral:rRNA from 1 species